AGGACGUUAGUUCAACUGAAUAUCUCUUUUGCAAAGAGAAGGGAAGGCCCUGUGCCUUAUCGUCUUA
rnacentral:tRNA from 1 species